UACAGGGGGGGGCAAGCGUUGUUCGGAAUUACUGGGCGUAAAGCGUGCGUAGACGGUUAUUUAAGUCGGGUGUGAAAGCCCCGGGCUCAACCUGGGAAUUGCAUUCGAGACUGAAUAGCUAGGGUACGGUAGAGGGAAGCGGAAUUUCCGGUGUAGCGGUGAAAUGCGUAGAUAUCGGAAGGAACAUCAGUGGCGAAAGCGGCUUCCUGGACCAGUACCGACGUUCAGGCACGAAAGCGUGGGGAGCAAACAGG
rnacentral:rRNA from 1 species